GACCCACACAUGGGGCCAAGCAGAAGGCAGCACAGAGCUAUGGGGGGUGUCAUCAGAUGGACAGGAACCUGAUUCCCAGCUGUGGGACCUUGGACAAGACCCUCAGCCUUCCUGUGUCCUCACUGGGAAACCAGGGAUAACACUCAUGGCCGUUGUGAGGACUCCCUGGGGUGGAAAGAACCAGCUGUGCCCUGUAAGUAAGUGUUUAAUAAGUGUUAGUCCCCCUUGCUUGGUCCCUGCCCCUGGGGACAAGUCACGGCAUCCACAGCUAGGGCCGCUGGACCCAGAGCACUGGGGGGACUUUUGGGCUCUCUGUCUGGGUGGGGGCUCCCUCCAUGGGCUCGCCUGUCCCUGUGCUGCGAAGUCCACUUGCCUGUGCAUGCUCCCCACCUCACAUCCAACGAUUGGCACAACAGUUGCAGAGCCCUGGAGGCUCCUAUCUGAAGUGGCCUUACCCCUUCGUGGCUGGAGGUUGGGGACUUCUCAGGAACGGGGUUGGAGGAGCGGUGCCAUGGAGGAACAGGGGAAGCUUCCACUUACUGCCACGUCCCAUUCCAUGGCUCAUCUGCAUUCUCAGCACUGGACGCAGUGAGUGGCACAUGGCAGUGCUCAGCAAAUGUUUGAUGAGUCAGUGAAUGAAUGAAAGAAGAAUGGAAACGCCAGGUACAGUGGCUCAUAUCUGCAAUCUCAGCACUUUGGGAGGCCGAGGCAGAUGGAACGCCUGACGUUAGGAGUUCAAAACCAGCCUGGCCAACGUGGCAAAACCCUGUCUCUACUAAAAAUACAAAAAGUAGCCAGGCGUGGUGGCACGUGCCUGUAAUUCCAGCUAUUUAGGAGGCUGAGGCAGGAGAAUCACUUGAACCUGGGACGGAGCUGAGAUUGUGCUGCUGCAGUCCAGCCUGGGUGACAGAGCGAGACUCUGUCUCAUCUAUCUCAAAAAAAGAAAAAAAUAAACCAGAAUAGGAACAAUGCCUGGAAGGAGAGAGAACUUACCAAAAA
rnacentral:lncRNA from 1 species